rnacentral:rRNA from 1 species
GAUGAACGCUGGCGGCGUGCCUAAUACAUGCAAGUCGAGCGAAGCGGGAACGGGUGAGUAACGCGUAGGUAACCUCCUAUUCGUGGGGGACAACUAUUGGUAACGAUAGCUAAACCGCAUACUUGUAGAUGGACCUGCGUUGUAUUAGCUAGUAGGUAGGGUAAUGGCCUACCUAGGUAACGAUACAUACCCGACCUGAGAGGGUGAUCGGCCACACUGGGACUGAGACACGGCCCAGACUCCUACGAGAGGCAGCAGUAGGGAAUCUUCGGCAAGGGAGGGAACCCUGACCGAGCAACGCCGCGUGAGUGAUGAAGGUCUUCGGAUCGUAAAACUCUGUUAUUAGGGAAGCGGUACCUAAUCAGAAAGCCACGGCUAACUACGUGCCAGCAGCCGCGGUAAUAC